CCUCAUAUCUACUCCAUCACUGAUAACGCUUACAGGAACAUGAUGCAAGAGCGUGAGGACCAGUCAAUUCUGUGCACAGGUGAGUCUGGAGCAGGGAAGACGGAGAACACGAAGAAGGUGAUCCAGUAUCUGGCGGUGGUGGCUUCCUCUCACAAGGGCAGCAAGAAGGACACUGGAGCUGUGAGUGUUCACUCUAGUGUACAA